CUGGCGGCGUGCCUAAUACAUGCAAGUAGAACGUUGAAGGAAGGAGCUUGCUCUUUCCGGAUGAGUUGCGAACGGGUGAGUAACGCGUAGGUAACCUGCCUGGUAGCGGGGGAUAACUAUUGGAAACGAUAGCUAAUACCGCAUAACAGUAGAUAUCGCAUGAUAGCUGCUUGAAAGGUGCAAUUGCACCACUACCAGAUGGACCUGCGUUGUAUUAGCUAGUUGGUGAGGUAACGGCUCACCAAGGCAACGAUACAUAGCCGACCUGAGAGGGUGAUCGGCCACACUGGGACUGAGACACGGCCCAGACUCCUACGGGAGGCAGCAGUAGGGAAUCUUCGGCAAUGGACGGAAGUCUGACCGAGCAACGCCGCGUGAGUGAAGAAGGUUUUCGGAUCGUAAAGCUCUGUUGUAAGAGAAGAACGAGUGUGAGAGUGGAAAGUUCACACUGUGACGGUAUCUUACCAGAAAGGGACGGCUAACUACGUGCCAGCAGCCGCGGUAAUACGUAGGUCCCGAGCGUUGUCCGGAUUUAUUGGGCGUAAAGCGAGCGCAGGCGGUUAGAUAAGUCUGAAGUUAAAGGCUGUGGCUUACCCAUAGUACGCUUUUGGAAACUGUUUAACUUGAGUGCCAGAGGGGAGAGUGGAA
rnacentral:rRNA from 1 species